UGGCGGACGGGUGAGUAAUGUCGUGGGAAACUGCCUGGUGGAGGGGGAUAACUACUGGAAACGGUAGCUAAUACCGCAUAACGUCGCAAGACCAAAGAGGGGGACCUUCGGGCCUCUUGCCAUCGGAUGUGCCCAGAUGGGAUUAGCUAGUAGGUGGGGUAACGGCUCACCUAGGCGACGAUCCCUAGCUGGUCUGAGAGGAUGACCAGCCACACUGGAACUGAGACACGGUCCAG
rnacentral:rRNA from 1 species